rnacentral:rRNA from 1 species
UUAAGUCCCGCAACGAGCGCAACCCUUGAUCUUAGUUGCCAGCAUUCAGUUGGGCACUCUAAGGUGACUGCCGGUGACAAACCGGAGGAAGGUGGGGAUGACGUCAAAUCAUCAUGCCCCUUAUGACCUGGGCUACACACGUGCUACAAUGGACAGAACAAAGGGCAGCGAAACCGCGGUUAAGCCAAUCCCACAAAUCUGUUCUCAGUUCGGAUCGCAGUCUGCAACUCGACUGCGUGAAGCUGGAAUCGCUAGUAAUCGCGGAUCAGCAUGCCGCGGUGAAUACGUUCCCGGGCCUUGUACACACCGCCCGUCACACCACUAGAGUUUUGAACACCCGAAGUCGGUGAGGUAACCUUUUAGGUGCCAGCCGCCGAAGGUGGGACAGAUGAUUGGGG